rnacentral:rRNA from 1 species
CCCUUAGAUGUUCUGGGCAGCACGCGCGCUACAAUGGUCUUCGCAAACGGAUGCAUUCUCGAAGGAGAAUGCCAAUCUUGGAAUCUAUGCCUUGGUCGGGACAGUUGUUUGCAAUUUUUCGACUCGAACCAGGAAUUCCUUGUAAUCGUGAUUCAUCACAUCACGAUGAAUACGUCCCUGCCCUUUGUACACACCGCCCGUCGCUCCUACCGAUCGAAGAGUUAGGUGAAUUGUUUUGAUCGAUAAGAUUUGACUAUGGUCAACUCUCGUUGUGAAAUUCUGUGAAUCUGACUGUUUAGAGGAAGGAAAAGUCGUAACA